GUGCUGGCUUCGUCAGCAUAUAUACUAAAAGUGUAAUGAUACAAAGAAGAUUAACGUGGCCUCUGGGCAAGGAUGACAGGCAAAUUCGUGAAGUGUUCUACAUUAAA